rnacentral:rRNA from 1 species
AAGUAGACCGCCUGGGGAGUACGGCCGCAAGGUUAAAACUCAAAUGAAUUGACGGGGGCCCGCACAAGCGGUGGAGCAUGUGGUUUAAUUCGAUGCAACGCGAAGAACCUUACCCGGCCUUGACAUCCUGAGAACUUUCUAGAGAUAGAUUGGUGCCUUCGGGAACUCAGUGGCAGGUGCUGCAUGGCUGUCGUCAGCUCGUGUCGUGAGAUGUUGGGUUAAGUCCCGUAACGAGCGCAACCCUUGUCCUUAGUUGCCAGCACUUCGGGUGGGAACUCUAAGGAGACUGCCGGUGACAAACCGGAGGAAGGUGGGGACGACGUCCAAGUCAUCAUGGCCCUUACGGCCUGGGCUACACACGUGC